UGCAGCAGCAGCAGCAGCACCGGGACCAGCUACAACAUCUUGGAGUGGAAGGGGCCGUCUAUGUGCUGGAGUUAACAGUGGCUGCAACGCUCUGACAUCCACGUUGACAUUAUACAGCAAUCUUACACAACCACACAGAUUCUUUUGCCGGAGUCCGAAGUUUCAUCUAUGGACGCAGCACCACAAACCAGCUGAUUGAAUCGUGGUGGGGGAUCCUGAGGAAACAAAGUGCACAGUUUUGGAUCAACGUUUUCCAAACCCUCUAAGAUGACGGCUACUUCUCUGGUGAUUUCUUGGAUAGGAGCCUGAUCCAAUUCUGCUUCCUAAACCUUGUUCAGGAUGAACUUGACGAAGUCGUGAGAACCUGGAAUUCACACAAGAUAAGAGCAAAGGCAGCUGAUGGUGUGAUUGGAGGUCGGCGGAUUUUGAUGUACACACUUCCAGGCAUGUUCGGCGCAGAGGACAAUCUCAAGCCCAUACACAUGAAUGAAUUGGCCCUUUGUAGGGAGGAGUGCACCCCCAAAAGCCAAUAUACAUGUGAUGAAACUGUAUUUGAUCUCUGCUGUCUUCUGAUGCAGGAAAAGGGAUGGGAUCCUCCUACAGAUGCAUUUUCCGCUGCUGAACUGUACACCUUAUUAAGAACUGAAAUACUGCAAAGUGUCUGAGGGUGGACAAUUCUCUCUGCACAAAGAAGAAUCAUUUGUACUGUACAAUACAGGACUGUCUCAGAAAAUUAGAAUAUUGUGAUAAAGUCCUUUUAUUUUCUGUAAUGCAAAAAUGUCAUACAUUCUGGAUUCAUUACAAAUCAACGGAAAUAUUGCAAGCCAUUUAUUAUUUUAAUAUUGCUGAUCAUGGCUUACAGCUUAAGAA